GACGAACGCUGGCGGCGUGCUUAACACAUGCAAGUCGAGCGGUAAGGCCCUUCGGGGUACACGAGCGGCGAACGGGUGAGUAACACGUGGGUGACCUGCCUUUAGCUCUGGGAUAAGCCUGGGAAACUGGGUCUAAUACCGGAUAUGACUCCACGGCGCAUGUUGUGGGGUGGAAAGCCUUGUGCGGCUGGAGAUGGGCCCGCGGCCUAUCAGCUUGUUGGUGGGUGAUGGCCUACCAAGGCGACGACGGGUAGCCGGCCUGAGAGGGCGACCGGCCACACUGGGACUGAGACACGGCCCAGACUCCUGCGGGAGGCAGCAGUGGGGAAUCUUGCGCAAUGGGCGAAAGCCUGACGCAGCGACGCCGCGUGAGGGAUGACGGCCU
rnacentral:rRNA from 1 species